GACGAACGCUGGCGACGUGCUUAACACAUGCAAGUCGAGCGGUAAGGCUCCUUCGGGAGUACACGAGCGGCGAACGGGUGAGUAACACGUGGGUGACCUGCCCUCAGCUCUGGGAUAAGCCUGGGAAACUGGGUCUAAUACUGGAUAUGACUCCACGGUGCAUGUCGUGGGGUGGAAAGCCUUGUGCGGCUGAGGAUGGGCCCGCGGCCUAUCAGCUUGUUGGUGGGGNGAUGGCCUACCAAGGCGACGACGGGUAGCCGGCCUGAGAGGGCGACCGGCCACACUGGGACUGAGACACGGCCCAGACUCCUACGGGAGGCAGCAGUGGGGAAUCUUGCGCAAUGGGCGAAAGCCUGACGCAGCGACGCCGCGUG
rnacentral:rRNA from 1 species